AUGAAAGAGUAAUAGUACGUGAAACCGAUUAGGCGGAAGCGUAUAGAGUUGUCGAAAGAUGGUUGUAAUCAGUUGAUAAUUUGCUAAUUAAAUUUUCAUGUAAUUCAGCAAUGAUUUGCAUGAAUUUUUACUUUGGUAAUUAUUGAUGCAUUUACAAUCAUUGUGCUGACACGAAUUAUUCGUCGAUUGAAAAUUGAUUGAGAGGGCAAACUUUAUUUAAAGUUUGUAACCUGAAUUAAUGAAAAAUCGUGCUAAUAAUUCGUUAAGAUUAACUUUAAAGAUGAUUAUUUCGUAUAGAAUUUUUGAUUAAAUGCAUGCAUUUGAUCGUAAAUUUUAUGUGGAAUAAUCAAAUUGAUGGUUAAUCGUGUCGGUGUUAAGGACAAUCACCUAUAUGUCCCGUCUUGAAACACGGACCAAGGAGUUUAUCGUAUGUGCGAGUCAUUGAGUGAUUAAAACUCAUAGGCGUAAUGAAAGUAAAGGACAACGUAUCGUUGUCUUAGAUGUGAUCAAUGCGGUUUCGGCCAAUUUGAGCAACAUUGUCCCGUUUCGAAUGCUUGCAUUGGAGCGGAGAUAGAGCAUAUGCGAUGAGACCCGAAAGAUGGUGAACUAUGCCUGAGCAGGAUGAAGUCGGAGGAAACUCUGAUGGAAGUCCGAAGCGGUUCUGACGUGCAAAUCGAUCGUCUGACUUGGGUAUAGGGGCGAAAGACUAAUCGAACCAUCUAGUAGCUGGUUUCCC
rnacentral:rRNA from 1 species